GAUGAAGAACGUAGCGAAAUGCGAUAAAUAAUGUGAAUUGCAGAAUUCAGUGAAUCAUCGAGUCUUUGAACGCACAUUGCGCCCCCUGGUAUUCCGGGGGGCAUGCCUGUCCGAGCGUCAUUGCUGCCCUCAAGCACGGCUUGUGUGUUGGGCCCCCGUCCCCCCCUCCCGGGGGACGGGCCCGAAAGGCAGCGGCGGCACCGCGUCCGGUCCUCGAGCGUUUGGGGCUUUGUCACCCGCUCUGUAGGCCCGGCCGGCGCCUGCCGACCACCAUCAAUCUUUUUUCAGGUUGACCUCGGAUCAGGUAGGGAUACCCGCUGAACUUAAGCAUAUCAAUAAGCGGAGGA
rnacentral:misc_RNA from 1 species